rnacentral:rRNA from 1 species
AUACGGAGGGUGCGAGCGUUAAUCGGAAUUACUGGGCGUAAAGCGUACGUAGGCGGUUGGUUAAGUUAGAUGUGAAAGCCCCGGGCUUAACCUGGGAACUGCAUUUAAAACUGGCGAACUAGAGUUGAGUAGAGGGGAGUGGAAUUUCAGGUGUAGCGGUGAAAUGCGUAGAGAUCUGAAGGAACACCAGUGGCGAAGGCGACUCCCUGGACUCGAACUGACGCUGAGGUACGAAAGCGUGGGUAGCGAACGGGAUUAGAAACCCCAGUAGUCC